CAAGGAUUGAAUUGUUUAGGCUCUAUUUAAACAUGUAAGAUCAUGCAGAACUAACCUCAGGUGAGAUUCAAUUUAAGAUUUCAGCGCGCCCUCUUUUAUUUAUCGAAAUCUUCUCCAUUUUAAAAUUAAAUAACAAUUAAUAUUGAGAAUCUUUGAAUCAAAAAUCAAAAGUGCGAUCAUUAGAUAUCUUACAAUACAUAUCUCAGUAGAAGCUUGCCCAGCCCAAAUUCACUCGGCUAAGAACUCAGAAGUAUAAAUAUUUUUAACAAUAUAAGAUAUCAUAUUUCAGAUAUUCAUAAGAUAUCUCUAUUAAUUCUCUACCGUCUAUGUAUUUUCAUUAAAAUUUAAUGAUACAUAGAGUCAUAGAGAUUGUGUCAAACUUAUAAUUAAAAAAUAAAAAUGAUUAAAUAAUCUCUUACGAUCCUUGAAUUCCUCUUAGAUCGAGCUAAGUUGAUUGAUAAACGCUGAAAGCAUCCUCCUUAAUUUCUCUCGAUUGACAGACCAUUUACAUUUUGACAAAUAGAUUCAUGUGAAUAUGCCAUGAUUGAUGGGUAGUAAAUCAAACAAAUAAUCGACCAUAAGAAAACGAAGCUACACCUACCCUUACAUUUAUUGAUAACAUACGCUUAAAUAAAGUCAAAUACUUACGAUAAUAAUAUAUAUAUAACCAGAUAAAACAACGCGUACGUGUCUUACACACUUCAAACUUAUCUUAUCCAAAAUCAAAUUCAGAGUUCACACGUCCAAUUUUCAAUAAUCUUCCGGAUUUCUUGUGGACCGCUAGCUGUACAAACAACGAAGUCGAUCGAUUAUCA
rnacentral:lncRNA from 1 species